UACAGAGAGUGCAAACGUUGUUCGGAAUUACUGGGCUUAAAGCGCACGUAGGCGGCGUCGCAAGUGUUGGGUGAAAUCCCACGGCUUACCCGUGGAACUGCCCAGCAGACUGCGAUGCUAGAGGAUGGUAGGGGAGAGCGGAACUCCUGGUGGAGCGGUGAAAUGCGUAGAUAUCAGGAGGAACACCGGUGGCGAAGGCGGCUCUCUGGUCCAUUUCUGACGCUGAGGUGCGAAAGCUAGGGGAGCAAACGGG
rnacentral:rRNA from 1 species